AUGCGGUUGUUUGAAGCCUUUCAUAACAAUACCCUGGAUGUAGCCCGUUUUAAUUAUGGCGUUAUCACAUUGAUCCCCAAGCUGAAUGGGGCCAAAAAAAUCCAGCAAAAUCGCCCUAUUUGCCUGCUUAGAUGCCCCUAUAAACUCAUUACUAAGGUUUUGGACAAUAGGGUGGCCAUAUUUGCUGACAAGCUGAUUAGUAAACACCAAAAUGCCUUUAUCAAACAUAGGAACAUAAUGGAUGGGAUCCUAACGUUGCAUGAAGUGCUGCAUCACACACACCAUAAGAAGAAAGUUGGUGUGGUGUUGAAAUUGGACUUUGAAAAGGCGUAUGACAAGAUAAAUUGGGACUUCCUUAUCGAAUGCCAUCGCAAUCGGGGCUUUGAUCCUACUUGGUGUGGAUGGGUGGAUAAGAUCCUUAGAAAUGGCACCCUGAGUAUUAAACUCAAUAAUGAGAAUGGGCCUUACUUCCAAAGCCACAAAGGGGUCCGUCAAGGCGAUCCCCACUCCCCCUUCUUGUUUAAUAUUGCUGUAGAAACCCUUUCGAAAAUGAUCCUCAAUGCUCAGAAAGAAAAGCUACUUACUGGGCUCGCUCCAGACCUGAUAGAGGGUGGGGUGGCCAUAUUACAAUAUGCGGAUGACACAGUCAUAUGCUUCGAGCAUGACAAAGAUGCAGCUAUAAAACUUAAGCUUCUUCUGUACAUGCUCGAGCUUAUGUCAGGCUUGAAGAUUAACUUCAUGAAAAGUGAUAUACUGUGUGUUGGAGGAGAUGAUGAGACUAUUGCCUUUUACUUUGAGCUGUUUAACUGCAGCAUUGGGCAUUUCCCCAUGAAGUACCUGGGUGUACGAGUCAGCUACUCCACGUUGCGUAGUCUAGACUGUGAUUUCUUGGAUGAGAGAUUUCUCAAAUGUUGUGAAACCUGGAUAGGGAAUGCAGCUUCCUCGGGGGGUCGUUUGAUUCUCCUUAAUUCAUCUUUAACCAGUAUAGUAUUUUAUUAUAUGUCUAUGUUUCUGCUCUCGAAAAAGGUGAUUGGGAAAGUU
rnacentral:rRNA from 1 species